rnacentral:lncRNA from 1 species
ACAUUCUUGAGGAGGCGAAACAGCGUAUGCUUAACAUUAGCUGCAUUAAUAGGUUAAGAAAAUUACGAAUAUUGAUACUUGAAUUGUAUGCAUAAAUAUUGAGUGUAGUUGUAUGAAAAUGGUCAAAAUUCUAAGAUGUUAUUUGAUCAACGAGUUUUUGCAAUCGUUCGCUAAGCUUACUAAAAUAAGUUACAAAAAGAAUGAAGAAAAAGAACACCAGUAACUUUAUUUAAUUUAAAUUUCUUGUUUCAUAAUGUAAGAUACGGGCAAAGUGCCUCUCAAUUUUUACAUCAUGCAUCUGUGUCUACAUUAUGAACCGGAAAAAAUAGUUUUAAAAUGUUUGCUUUGUGCUAACAUUAUAUCAAUGUUUCAACUCCUGAAUAGAGGCUAUUUAAAUGAUUAAAUAUACCAAAGGAUAUUUUUUGUGUGUACAACUUUGUGUAAUAGAUCUUGAGCACUUCGUGUGAUUUCUUGAAUUGGUGAAUAUUUUAUAUUUACUUUUCAAAUAGUUCAAAUUGAUGUUUUUAUUGAAAUUAAAAGGAAAAGGAUUAUUAAAAUCAAAGGAUAUAGUAAGAUCUGUGCAUAGAUAUCAAUUCCAUUUCCACUUGCAGAUAUGUUCAUCGAUUUAUGCAGUGUUGUGAUUUGAGAUUGAGCUGUCAUCGGUGACUUGGAAUUAGAAUAAUUACAACAAACUGUCAGAGGUUUCAAAGAAUAUAAUUUGUGCAGUGUAUCGAAAAGUGUCUAAGUUAUAUAAUUGUGGGAAUACUCAGUGGAUACUCAUUCAUGAAUAUACUCUCAUGGAUACACAUUCAUGGAUAUACACCAUUGGAUACUCGCCACGCCCAUGGAUAUGCAUAGUGAUUCAGAUAUAAUGCACAAAGGCACCAACAACUUCAAUGCUUUUAGUCAAGAAAAAGACUUAGGAGAUAUUGUUAUAACCAGUGCCGAACCUAUUGAUAAAAAUAUUUAUUCUGCCGAAAUUAUCUGAAUUCCAGAGGGUUAUAAACAGUUUUUUCCCACUUGAAAAAUACUAGUUUCAAGAACAGUUUACAAGCAAGGAAUGUGCAUAGUUUCAAGUUUUGAGAAGGAAGAACCUGUGUUUGGAAAAACAAUUAUUAUUUUGUGAAUAGACUCCAAACUUUUAUUUGUUUGUAAUCUUUUUAAAUCUUGUUGUGGUUUUUACAAUCAACUGAAAAAUGUGAUAUAGUUAAAGUAAUAGCACCAGAAAAUCUUUAAUAAUGAAUAUAAUAAUGAAUAUGUAAUAAAAAUGUUGGUUUUUUUCCAAUACUCACCAUCAUUUACUAAUUUGUAAAACAAAUUACAGUAUUUUUAUUUUAAACUGUGUGAAAAUUUAAUAUUUUUAUCAAAUAGUAAAUUAUGUUUGUAAAAAAAGUAAUUUAGUUAUAUUAUAGAUUUUAAUUCAGAUGAGGCUGAUUAUAUCAAGAAAUUUAGUAUCUUAUUAAAAUAUAGAAAAUUAUUUCAAAACUGUAAAUAUUGAGGCAUUUUUCAUUUUAAAUUACUGUAUAUUAAAAAUCAGUUUGAACUGAAUGCACAAUCUUAGAAACAAACAAACUAUCCAUCAUAUUUUUGAGUAAAUAUUUUGUAUUUAUUAAAUGAAUGCUGUGAUAUGUAUAAUAAGUAUAAUAUAUUUAAAUUUUAAAAUUUUGAAUAAAAAUUAUUACAUUCUGUCUAUGUAUACAAGCAUUAAAGUGAUUGUAAGUGAAUAAAUUACGUUUCAAUAUUGA